rnacentral:tRNA from 1 species
UGUGCUUAUAGCUCAGCUGGAUAGAGCAUCCGCCUUCUAAGCGGAUGGUCACAGGUUCGAAUCCUGUUAGGUCAGCCA